GUUUGGUAGCUCGGCACCGACCAGCGCGCCCUCAAGUCAAGCAGCAGCUCCUGGCUUUGUGUUUGGAUCCGCUGGCACAAGCAGCACCGCUCAGGCUGGGACAACUGCAGGGUUUACCUUUUCCAGCGGCACCACGACUCAGGCCGGAGCAGGCAGCUUGAGCAUGGGUGCUGCAGUGCCACAGACAGCGCCCACGGGGCUGAGCUUUGGAGCAGCACCUGCGGCUGCUGCCACCUCUGCUGCCACCUUGGGAGCUGCAACCCAGCCUGCAGCCCCGUUCAGCCUUGGGGGGCAGAGCACAGGCCUGAACUUUGGGUCAUUAUCUUCCACUGCAGCCACUAGUGCAGCCACGGCAACAGUGAGCACAAGUACCAGCUCGGGACCUGCUCUGUCUUUUGGAGCCAAACUUGGAGUUACGUCCACAUCUGCUGCAACUGCCUCUACCAGCACAACCUCUGUUCUUGGCUCAACGGCGCCAACUUUGUUUGCAUCUGUAGCAAGUUCUUCAGCCCCAGCAUCAUCUACCACCACAGGCCUCUCACGUAAGUCCCAAUAUGCAGUUGUUAUCUGAUGGGGGAAUCAACAUCCUUGUCUCUAAAUUGGAGAGACAUCAAUUUAAUAGAUGGACCAGUCAGUAGAUAAAGAACUGGCUGCAUGGCUGCACACAAAGAGUUGCGGUCAGUGGCUCAAUGUCUGGCUGGAGACCAGUAACGAGUGGUGUCCCUCAGGGAUUGGUGUUGAACAAUAUUGCUCCCAACAUCUUUGUCGGUGACAUGGACAGUGGGAUUGAGUGCGUCCUCAGCAAGUUUGCUGAUGACACCAAGCUGUGUGGUUCGGUUGAUACGCUGGAGGGAAGGAAUGCCAUCCAGAGGGACCUUGACACACUUGUGAGGUGGGCUGAUGCCAACCUCAUGAAGUUUAACCAUGCCAAGUG
rnacentral:lncRNA from 14 species